rnacentral:rRNA from 1 species
GAUGUGAUUUCUGCCCAGUACUCUGAAUGUCAAAGUGAAGAAGUUCAAUGAAGUGCAGGUAAAUGGCAGGAGUAACUAUGACUUUCUUAAGGUAGUCAAAUGCCUGGUCAUCUAAUUAGUAAUGCACAUGAAUGGAUGAAGGAGAUUCCCACUGUCCCUACCUACUAUCCAGAGAAACCACAGACAAGGGAAUGGGUUUGGC